rnacentral:rRNA from 1 species
CCUACGGGUGGCAGCAGUGAGGAAUAUUGGUCAAUGGCCGGAAGGCUGAACCAGCCAUGCCGCGUGAAGGUCAGUGCCCUAUGGGCGUUAAACUUCUUUUGUGCGGGAGCAAUUAUCGUCACGUGUGGCCAGACGAGAGUACCGUACGACUAAGCAUCGGCUAACUCCGUGCCGGCAGCCGCGGUAAUACGGGGGAUGCAAGCGUUAUCCGGAUUUAUUGGGUUUAAAGGGUGCGUAGGCGGUGAGGUAAGUCAGCGGUGAAAUGCCCCGGCUCAACGGGGUGAAGUGCCAUUGAUACUGCCAUGCUGGAAUGCGGAUGCCGUGGGUGGAAGGUGUGGUGUAGCGGUGAAAUGCAUAGAGAUCACACAGAACACCGAUUGCGAAGGCAUCUCACGAAUCCGCGAUUGACGCUGAUGCACGAAAGCGUGGGUAGCAAACAGGAUUAGAUACCCCAGUAGUC